UACAGAGGGUGCGAGCGUUAAUCGGAAUUACUGGGCGUAAAGCGUGCGUAGACGGUUAUUUAAGUCGGGUGUGAAAGCCCCGGGCUCAACCUGGGAAUUGCAUUCGAGACUGAAUAGCUAGGGUACGGUAGAGGGAAGUGGAAUUUCCGGUGUAGCGGUGAAAUGCGUAGAUAUCGGAAGGAACAUCAGUGGCGAAAGCGACUUCCUGGACCAAUUCUGACGCUGAGGAGCGAAAGCCAGGGGAGCAAACGGG
rnacentral:rRNA from 1 species